GCCAGCGUAAUGCAGUGGUUUGAACCUUGGAUUCUGACUCUGGCGGGCAGGGUUCAAAUCCCUGCUUGGCC